AUUGAACGCUGGCGGCAGGCCUAAAACAUGCAAGUCGAACGAGUGGCGGCCGGGUGAGUAAUGUCUGGGAAACUGCCCGAGGGAGGGGGAUAACUCCUGGAAAGGGUACCUAAUACCGAAUACAAUCGGAUGUGCCCAGAGGGGAUUAGCUAGUAGGUGAGGUAAAGGCUCACCAAGCCGACGAUCCCUAGCUGGUCUGAGAGGAUGACCGGCCACACUGGGACUGAGACACGGCCCAGACUCCUACGGGAGGCAGCAGUGGGGAAUAUUGCGCAAUGGGGGCAACCCUGACGCAGCCAUGCCGCGUGAAUGAAGAAGGCCUUCGGGUUGUAAAGUUCUUUCGGUAGCGAGGCGUUAACUACAGAAGAAGCACCGGCUAACUCCGUGCCAGCAGCCGCGGUAAUUC
rnacentral:rRNA from 1 species